GAUGAACGCUGGCGGCGUGCCUAAUACAUGCAAGUCGAGCGAAUAGAGGGGGCGUGUUCUCGUCUGACGUUGGGGGCGGACGGGUGAUGACCACGUGUAUGCCUUAUCUUGGGGAAUGGGGUACGUACACGGGACCGGAUCUAGUAUCCGAUAAUAGAUUGAAACUGGGGGUUCUUUAGUGAUAGACGUUUUUGCUGACCCUAAUAGGUAGCUCCGCGUCGCAUUAGUAAGUUGGUAAGGUAACGGCUUACCAAGGCAACGAUGCGUAGCCGACCUGAGAGGGUGAUCGGCCACACGGGAACUGAGGCACGGCCCAGACGCCUACGGGAGGCAGCAGUCGCGAAUCUUGCGCAAUGGGCGAAAGCCUGAUGGAGCAACGCCGCGUGAAUGAUGAAGGUCUUCGGAUCGUAAAGCUCUGUAAGUAGGGAAGAACAAAAGUAUAUGUACCCAUGCCCGUCUUGACGGUACCUACAGAAUAAGCCACGGCUAACUACGUG
rnacentral:rRNA from 1 species